GACGAACGCUGGCGGCGUGCUUAACACAUGCAAGUCGAGCGGUAAGGCCCUUUCGGGGGUACACGAGCGGCGAACGGGUGAGUAACACGUGGGUGACCUGCCUCUAGCUCUGGGAUAAGCCCGGGAAACUGGGUCCAAUACUGGAUAUGACUCCAUGACGCAUGUUGUGGGGUGGAAAGCCUUGUGCGGCUAGAGAUGGGCCCGCGGCCUAUCAGCUUGUUGGUGGGGUGAUGGCCUACCAAGGCGACGACGGGUAGCCGGCCUGAGAGGGCGACCGGCCACACUGGGACUGAGACACGGCCCAGACUCCUACGGGAGGCAGCAGUGGGGAAUCUUGCGCAAUGGGCGAAAGCCUGACGCAGCGACGCCGCGUGAGGGAUGACGCCU
rnacentral:rRNA from 1 species